CAGGGCUGGAGAGCAGUUCAAUGAAGAUUUCAGUCAUCAACAAGGAAUUACAUUAAUGCCACUUCCUGUGACCCAGCUGCACCAAGCGUGGACAUGUGUGCGCCGCGAAUCAUACGUGGAGCAAAGGGAACUCACUCACCCAGAGAUCACUGGGUCCCCAAAUGCAGAGGAAUACAAGACACUGCAACAACUCCCUCAGAUCAUUUAGUAUUAUUUGUGCAUUCGGGGAAAGAUGCAGAGCAGGAAAUCUGUGGAUGUGUGGCAGGCGGGCACCGACACGUCUCUAGUGGCUAUGGGAGAGCGUACCAUGAAUAAAUUUAGCGCUGUCCCCAGGAGAUUGCCUUCAAUCACGAAGCAUAAGGUGUCAAUGCGGCGCCCUGUGUGCAUGCACCAAAUUACCUUCCACCAGAUUGCUGAGCUGGGUCUAAUAGGAAUGGGGAAUGGACUGAAGAGGACGGACUGCUAAUUAAUCUGGCCCAAGUCUGAGCCCAUGUCCUGGGCCUGCUGACAACCGGUCAAGUUGAGGCCAGGGAUACAUGUAUGAUCAGAUAGGAAAGAUGAAAAAUGUACAUGUAUUAAAGUGUUCAUGUAUACAAAUCUUUGGGAAAAUUAAUAAUAUGCAUAUAUUUGGUUUUGAUUAUGGCAUCUGUAUUAAUAAAUGGAUGCAUG
ensembl:lncRNA